GCUGGUGGCCUGGCCACCGGCGCUUGACGGCCCACGUGUGCAAGGCCUACUCGGCGUACAGGCUCGCUGGCCACGCUCCUCCCCUGUUCGCCUCGCGAGUUUGCCUUAGCAUCACGCAGUCUCACCGCCCAGCCACGCUUGCUGGCGCAGAGGGCACUGAAUCGCCGCACCUCGGCUACGCGCCACUUGCUGCGCCCGCCGCUCCACCUCCCGUCAAUGCCUGCCGUUCCCAUCGCACCACGUCUGCCGGCGCAGCGCCUUCCGUAGUCCCGCUACUCGGCCAACCCACUCAACCGCCGCAUCUUGGCACCUCAUUGUACGCCUCCUCAACUGCCUCUGCCAAUGAAUGCUACCGUUCUUGCCAUGGUGGAGCCGUUCUUGGCAUUCAUUUGCAGCAUGCACAUAAACUCCACCCCCAUUAGCCAUUCUACUAUUCCUUCCCCAAGCCUAUAUCCCGAAGGACCAAAUGUUGUUUUUUUUUCUUUUCCUUUCCUCGACUGGUGGUCACUACAUUGUUGCUUUGGCUUAGAUCUCCCCGCUGCUGGUGCACCAAAUUCAUGGAGUCCGUGUAGAGGGAGGGCACAGCGUCCUGAUCAAAACAAAAAGUUCACAUAAAUUGAUUUUGCUUCUAGAUGUAGCAGCAACAUUAGCCUUCUUGACAAAUUUAGGAGUAACACAGACAUCAUCAAAUUCUGCAACACAAAUAUUAGUUGACUUAGACAUUCCUCAAAUUGCUGAAUUCCGUACAAGCUACAAAUGGGAAGCUCCAUCUCUGCAACAGCAUGCACCUCAAGUACUUCAGUUAUCUCCAAUCCAAGGAGUUGGCCAAAUAUACACACUUGACAAAAUAAUUGAACUACCAGCAACAUCUUUCCAGGCAACAAUCUGCUUACAUUCCAUUAAAAAUAUAUUCAAUUCUGCACACUCUAUAUGCCAACAUAUACUCCAAACGCUUCUCACAAUUUUGUUUUCUCCACAAAUAAAAGGGAGGUGCUACAGGCACAAAAUGGUACUACAAAGCAUGUCGAAAUUGAAAAGUGGGAUAUGGAAGCAUUUUGGAAGAACCAAGAUGUGAUUGUGCAGCCAAUGUAAAAAAAACUUCCUUCUACCUUACUAUUAUAUAGUAAAUAUUUAUUAAAUUCAUCCACCAUAUUUCCUACGCAAUUAACAUUUCAUAAUUGCUACAGGUACAAACUUCCUAUUACCAUUACAGAUGAUACUGGAAGCAUAGACAUAAUAGCUUUCUCUUUCAUAGCUGAAGGCUUGGUAGAACGUAUUGCAUAUCAUGCUUCUCAAAACAUGAAAAUUGACGCAACAGAACAUGUAGCUGCUUUAGAUAAAGCAAUUGGAAAAAUUAGACUCUUUUACAUAGGAAUGAGCACUAAUUCGUCCUCCACUUUUUCCAUCAAAUAUGUCUUGAGGAAGAGUUUUCAAAUAGAGAAUUCAAGUUAACGUUCAAAGGAACCAUCUGCACAGGCAACACCUAUCAUGACAGCACUAUCUUCUCCACCUCCAAACACAAGAUCUGAAAGCUCAAACGUAAAGAGAUCAUUAGAUUCCAAAGAUAACACAGAAUGCAAGGCAAAAGGUCAAACGCCUACCUCCCAAACUCUUUCUAAACGUCAAAGACCAGAAUAACAACACGGCGGAACACUUGGUACAAGCUCUUUGUUCAGCGUCACAUUACCAUAUAUAUAGGCAUCUGUGUCUCUGAUGCUUGACUACUUUUCCUUAUAGUGCUUUUACAAUAAUACUUCAAUAAACUUUCACGUCUGCGGCACUCUAAAUCUCUUAUUUAUGUCAAAACUGAACUUCAUACAAGUACUGUAUUUUUGUGUAUCUAUUUCUGAAUCUGAACAUUCUAAAAGUUGAAGAGUGACCGUGGGAUGCAUAUUUCAGUA